CGGGACUUCCGGCCGCCCGGCUCCCGCAAGAUGGCGGCCGCAGUGGACAAGAGGAAGAUGCUGGACCAUGAGAGGAACCAGUCUUAGAAUGAUGCAGACACCCAAGAAGGCAUAGCAGAGAGAAGUAAAUAUAUGGAUCCUUGGUGACAAAUUGAGUUGUAGAAUCAAGCUGCACCUGAAGCCAGUCAGCCUGUGGACUUCUCAUUCAUGAGGAAUCACCUACUGUGUGGAAGUGUGAGUAUCUGACUUGGAUGGCCCAGAUUACAGGGCUCUGAGAACAGAGAAGUGAUGCAUUUUGCCAAGGAGGUGGGAGGCAGGCUGGCACCUGGAGAGCCUUUUCUGCCCUUUUCUUUAUAGC